rnacentral:rRNA from 1 species
AACGAACGCUGGCGGCAUGCCUAACACAUGCAAGUUGAACGAGACCUUCGGGUCUUGUGGCGCACGUGUGCGUAACGCGUGGGAACCUGCCCUUAGGUUCGGAAUAACUCCCCGAGAGGGGUGCUAAUACCGGAUAAUUUCUUCGGACCAAAGAUUUAUCGCCUUUGGAUGGGCCCGCGUUGGAUUAGCUAGUUGGUAGGGUAAAAGCCUACCAAGGGGACGUUCCAUAGCUGGUCUGAGAGGAUGAUCAGCCACACUGGGACUGAGACACGGCCCAGACUCGUACGGGAGGAAGCAGUGGGGAAUAUUGGACAAGGGGCGAAAGACUGAUCCAGCAAUGCCGCGUGAGUGAUGAAGGCCUUAGGGUUGUAAAGCUGUUUUACCCGGGAUGAUAAUGACAGUAACGGGAGAAUAAGCUCCGGCUAACUACGUG